rnacentral:rRNA from 1 species
GACGUAGGUGGCGAACGUUAUCCGGAAUUAUUGGGCGUAAAGGGUGCGUAGGUGGCCUGGCAAGUUAUCAGUGGUAAAUCGAGGCCCAACCUCGUGGAAACUGGCAAUACUGCUUGGCUUGAGUGCAGGAGAGGUUAACGGAACUCUAUGUGGAGCGGUAAAAUGCACAGAUAUAUAGAAGAACAUCAAUAACGGCGAAGGCAGUUAACUAUUCUGUUACUGACACUUGAGGCACGAAAGCGUGGGGAGCAAAACGG